rnacentral:rRNA from 1 species
GAUGAACGCUGGCGGCGUGCCUAAUACAUGCAAGUCGAGCGAACGGACGAGAAGCUUGCUUCUCUGAUGUUAGCGGCGGACGGGUGAGUAACACGUGGAUAACCUACCUAUAAGACUGGGAUAACUUCGGGAAACCGUAGCUAAUACCGGAUAAUAUUUUGAACCGCAUGGUUCAAAAGUGAAAGACGGUCUUGCUGUCACUUAUAGAUGGAUCCGCGCUGCAUUAGCUAGUUGGUAAGGUAACGGCUUACCAAGGCAACGAUGCAUAGCCGACCUGAGAGGGUGAUCGGCCACACUGGAACGGAGACACGGUCCAGACUCCUACGGGAGGCAGCAGUAGGGAAUCUUCCGCAAUGGGCGGAAGCCUGACGGAGCAACGCCGCGUGAGUGAUGAAGGUCUUCGGAUCGUAAAACUCUGUUAUUAGGGAAGAACAUAUGUGUAAGUAACUGUGCACAUCUUGACGGUACCUAAUCAGAAAGCCACGGCUAACUACGUG